rnacentral:tRNA from 1 species
UAGAUUGAAGCCAGUAGUUGAGUGUUUAGCUGUUAACUAAAAUUUCAUAGGUUUGACUCCUAUCAGUCUAG